CUCUAUGGCAUAUGGAAGUGCUGGGGCCAGGGACAGAAUCCCAGCCAGAGCUCUGACCUACAUCACAGCUGCAGCAGCUCCAGAACCUUCACCUGUUGUGCCAGGCCGGGAUCAAACAGGUGACAAGCUGGGUCCUUAACUCCCUGCGCCACAGCAGGAGCUCCUGUUAAUCGGUUUUUUGGAUUGUUCUCUUCUCUUUUCUUACACAGGAACACUCUGUGGUGAUUCUCUUCUUCCUCCUUGAUUUUCUUCACUCUCUCCUCCUUCUCUGAGUGCCAUUAAACAUGGCUGCACUCGUGUUACCACCCUCCAUCCUCUCCCUUUCCUUCUCUUCUGUCGCCGUGGGCGCUCUCUUCCGCUAGGAUUCUCCCCAGGACCAUUUAUAUUCCUGCACCAGUCCUACAUCUAGGUUUGACUAUCUCCAGGGCUUUGAGGUAUUUGAGGAUUGGGGGGCUGAUCGAGGGAAAGGUAGAACCACAGGAUGGCAGAGGCACAGAAGUUUAUUGGGCUGCGUUUGGGCAAGGCUGCUCUAGAGCUCAGGCACCUGCCAGAAAGAGGCCUUUGAGCCACCACCUCAACGGGGAAUAGGGCAUGGGCACCUCUAGGAAAGGGGAGAAUCGGAGAGCACUCUGGUCUCUGAGUCAGAGAACGAUGAAGGGUAGUAGUGGUGGUUUGGGGACCAGCACACAAGGACAAUCUCUGGCCCGUUUAUAGAGCGGGCUACAGACCCAUACUUUUAACUGUUCACCGGGCCUUUCCAUCCUAAAUGUCACACAGGUGUCGGCAACACAGUUUCCCCAAACAGACCACAUCAUCUUUUCCUGAAAACCCUGUUAUUUCUAUUUAUCUAUUUCUAAUGAAGUGGCAUGAUUUUAGUCCCAGCUAGACAGGGUAGAAACCUGAGCAUCAUUUUAGAUUCUUCUUUUGGCACUCCGUCAUCUUUCCUCCAAUUUUGCUGGUAGCCCAUCCUGUAUCUUCUCUUGUAACUUUCUUGGGCUUUUCCUCUCUUCUCCACUUAGCAUCACCACAUUCGGACUGGGUCACUCCCUCUUCAUUUGUCGCUGCUAAGUAACUUUUGUUUUACUUGCUUCCAGUCAUGCGUCCAUGCCAGUCAUUCUUUGUAUUUUUAAAAUGAGACUUUCCUAAAAGUCAGGUCAUGUUACCUCCAUGCUCAAAAUUCUUGACUAUUGCAUAAUUACUUUGAAGGGAAAAAAACACACACACACACAAAUUCUUAGCACUUGGCAGCUUAGCCCUUUUAUAUUACAAAACAGAGCCUAGUGUUGUUUUUAUUACCUGAUGCUGGUCUAUGAAUGGACCAUAUUCUUUAUGCUUUUCCAAUCCCAUGAAAUGCAUUAUAAGUCCUUCAUUGGAUGCUUCUUUUUACAGCGUACUAUUUUUGAGAGGUACUGCAUUAUAUUUAUCUAGUCAUCCGUUGAUGGAGAUGUGUCCCUUGGGAUCUGCCCUUGUUUCCUUGCUGCUGAGCCCACCCAGAAAAGAACUCCAUGCUGGGAAGCUGGAUAAAGUGGGAACUGCCCCUCUGCAGUCCUGCCCAGCAAAACAGCUUUUCCACAAUACAGAGCUGUGGAGAGAAGGCGCAGCCCUUAGUUUGAAUGUCAUGGCAGCCCCCUGUUCUUCCCAAGUUGUGUAGCCUUUGUUGAAUAAACGCAUCUCAAUUUGUCAGAACCCCUUUGUUCCAUUUUGCCCAGAUUUUGAGUGAUUGUCUUUGAUAUUUUUGACCAGUUUUAUGAGAUUUGUCGCUGGGAGAGACGUUUCACAGGGCAUCACACACCACCCAUUCUAGAAGGGCCCACCUCUGACCACUGAUUUAUUUUCUCAAAUAGUUCAAGAACUUUAAAUGUUUUAACUCCAAGCCCCCCUUUUUCCUAGUAUGGUAAUGCUGACCAAUAUUUUCAUUCUAUUUAGGUUUUUUUUUUUUUAAUUAUUGGAGGUCUUGUUAUGGGUUGGUGGGUUAAGGACCCAACAUAGUAUCAGUGAGGAUGCCGGUUCAAUCCCCGGCCUCGCUCAGUGGGUUAAGGAUCCAGUGUUGCCGCAAGCUGUGGCGUAGGUCAUAGAUGCAGCUCAGAUCCGGUAUUGCUGUGGCUGAGGUGCUGGCAACUGCCGCUCUGAGUCUACCCUGGCCCGGGAACUUCCAUAUGAUGCAGGUGUGGCCAUUAAAAAAAAAAAUCUUUGUAGUACUUAUUAUUAAUCUCAUUAAAAUAAUCUCUUAGUGUUUUGAUAUACCUCCAUGUUUAGCAGUCUUUCUACCUGCUAAUAUUGCAUCUCAAAUAUUGUUAUGGGGUUCUUGUCUUUCUGAAAUCAUUUUCCAAGGUGUCAGUCUCUAGAUAAGUUGUCUUUAUUUCACAGCCUCCCUUGGAAGGUUCUGGUAGUGGGUACAGACAUCUAAGUGGAGGUUAUUUCCUCUUCAUACAUUGAAGACAGCAGUCAAGAUCCUCUAACUUCUCUUGUUGCUGUUGAGAACUGAGCUCAGUCUGUUAGCUCACUGUUCUGUAGGUGAUUCGGUGUUGUGGGAAUUUUUGCUACUUCUAAGAUCUCAUUGUGCUCUGAAAUCUCACUAAUAAUUGUCUAGGUAUGAAUAUCUCUUUAGGAGUUCCUGUUGUGGUACAACGGAAACGAAUCCGAUUUGGAACCAUGAGGUUGUAGGUUCGAUCCCUGGCCUCGCUCAGUGGGUUAAGGAUCUGGCGUUGCCGUGACCUGUGGUUUAGGUUGCAGAUACGGCUUGGAUCUGGCAUUGCUGGGGCUGUGGUGUAGGCCGGCAGCUGUAGCUCUGAUUAGACCCCUAGCCUGGGAACCUCCAUAUGCCAUGGGUGCAGCCCUAAAAAAGCAAAAAAAAAAA
rnacentral:lncRNA from 1 species